UAGGUUUGUCCCAAGUCAAACUUGCUUAAGUAUGACCGACUCUACAGAAAAUGUGCAAAGAUCUACAACACCAAAUACACAUAGUACGGAAAUAUAUUUCAUAAAGAAUCUAAUGAGACUGAUUUGGUGUUCCAAAUGUUCAUUUUUUUUCAUAGACUUGGUCAAACUUAAACAAGUUUGACUUAGGACAAACUUAA
rnacentral:pre_miRNA from 1 species